AUACCAAUACAUUGUACAUCAUUUUGUAGGGAUGAGAGACCAGUCCCAAGGCAUACUUACUAUCUUUGAAGCUGGGUUGGAAACUAGGAACUCUGACAGAAUAAAAUGAAACAUAUCUGUUUUUCAUCAGAGAAGUUCCCUGGAAGGCAGAAUGUGAGGAGUAAAGAGCAAGAAAAUCAAGUAAAAUCAGAGAAACAAUGCUACUUUAAAAUUUAGUGUUAUAACAGAAAAGUAAAUCAAGAAUAUUCACAUUUAUCUGAAAAAUGUGCCAUCGUGUCUAAUGACGAACUAAUAAUUUGCUGACUUUAUAGUGACUAAAUGCAGCAAAAUGCAAUGAUUUCUUUAAAAAAUGAACUGGCAGACACAAUGACUCAGACUGAAGGUAGAAGAAACGCCUAAGGAGGCUAAGUUCAAUCAACUCACCAGCAUGGGAUGCACAAGCCAGUAAGUGUCACUUUGGACAGUUCUUUGUGACAUAAGGAUUACCCAGGCUACGCU
rnacentral:lncRNA from 1 species